AUUGAACGCUGGCGGCAGGCCUAACACCUGCAAGUCGAACGAGUGGCGGACGGGUGAGUAAUGUCUGGGAAACUGCCUGAUGGAGGGGGAUAACUACUGGAAACGGUAGCUAAUACCGCAUACCAUCAGAUGUGCCCAGAUUGGAUUAUCUAGUAGGUGGGGUAACGGCUCACCUAGGCGACGAUCCCUAGCUGGUCGGAGAGGAUGACCAGCAACACUGGAACUGAGACACGGUCCAGACUCCUACGGUAGGAAGCAGGGGGGAAGAUGGCACAAGGGGCGCAAGCCGGAUGCAGCCAUGCCGCGUGUGUGAAGAAGGCCUUCGGGUUGUAAAGCACUUUCAGCGGGGAGGCGGUACCCGCAGAAGAAGCACCGGCUAACUCCGUGCCAGCAGCCGCGGUAAUAC
rnacentral:rRNA from 1 species